CCAAAGACAGACUAGCAGAUUUAAACUGGUCUGAACAUCCUUGGCAUAAGUGCCUUAGCAUUUAUCUUUUAUUUGAAGGUUCAUUUUGUUUAACACUCCAUAAAAAAUGAAUGUACAAUCAAUUCUUUAUUAUGCACUUCUGUAAAUAUCCAGGUACUUUCAAGUGACAUCCACUAACAUCCUUCUGCUAUCUUUCCAAGGUUGGUAGCUGUAUUUGCAUAAAAUAAGAGACCAUUUAGCAUAAAAAGAGGAAUCUAUAUGCAAAAAGCUUUUAUCUAAAAGUCA